AACGAACGCUGGCGGCAGGCCUCAAACAUGCAAGUCGAGCGCCCAGCAAUGGGAGCGGCGGACGGGUGAGUAUCGCGUGGGAAUGUACCUAGUGGUUCGGAACAACUCAUGGAAACGUGAGCUAAUACCGGAUGAGCCCGCAAGGGGAAAGAUUCAUCGCCAUUAGAUCAGCCCGCGUCUGAUUAGCUAGUUGGUAGGGUAACGGCCUCACCAAGGCGACGAUCAGUAGCUGUUCUGAGAGGAAGAUCAGCCACACUGGGACUGAGACACGGCCCAGACUCCUACGGGAGGCAGCAGUUGGGAAUCUUGGACAAUGGGCGCAAGCCUGAUCCAGCCAUGCCGCGUGAGUGAUGAAGGCCUUAGGGUUGUAAAGCUCUUUUACCCGGGAAGAUAAUGACUGUACCGGGAGAAUAAGCUCCGGCUAACUUCGUGCCAGCCGCCGCAGUAAAAC
rnacentral:rRNA from 1 species